rnacentral:rRNA from 1 species
ACAACGGAGAGUUUGAUCCUGGCUCAGGAUGAACGCUGGCGGCGUGCUUAACACAUGCAAGUCGAACGAACCUUCGGGUUAGUGGCGGACGGGUGAGUAACGCGUGGGAAUCUGCCCUCAGGAGGGGGAUAACGGUUGGAAACGACCGCUAAUACCCCAUAUGCCGAGAGGUGAAAUGAAUUUCGCCUGAGGAUGAGCCCGCGUCUGAUUAGCUUGUUGGUGAGGUAAUGGCUCACCAAGGCAUCGAUCAGUAGCUGGUCUGAGAGGAUGAUCAGCCACACUGGGACUGAGACACGGCCCAGACUCCUACGGGAGGCAGCAGUGGGGAAUUUUCCGCAAUGGGCGAAAGCCUGACGGAGCAACGCCGCGUGAGGGACGAAGGCCUCUGGGCUGUAAACCUCUUUUCUCAAGGAAGAAGAUAUGACGGUACUUGAGGAAUAAGCCACGGCUAAUUCCGUGCCAGCAGCCGCGGUAAUACGGGAGUGGCAAGCGUUAUCCGGAAUUAUUGGGCGUAAAGCGUCCGCAGGCGGCCUUUCAAGUCUGCUGUUAAAACGUGGAGCUUAACUCCAUCAUGGCAGUGGAAACUGAUUGGCUUGAGUAUGGUAGGGGCAGAGGGAAUUCCCGGUGUAGCGGUGAAAUGCGUAGAUAUCGGGAAGAACACCAGUGGCGAAGGCGCUCUGCUGGGCCAUUACUGACGCUCAUGGACGAAAGCCAGGGGAGCGAAAGGGAUUAGAUACCCCUGUAGUCCUGGCCGUAAACGAUGAACACUAGGUGUCGGGGGAAUCGACCCCUUCGGUGUCGUAGCUAACGCGUUAAGUGUUCCGCCUGGGGAGUACGCACGCAAGUGUGAAACUCAAAGGAAUUGACGGGGGCUCGCACAAGCGGUGGAGUAUGUGGUUUAAUUCGAUGCAACGCGAAGAACCUUACCAGGGCUUGACAUCCUGCGAACCUUUAAGAAAUUAGAGGGUGCCUUCGGGAGCGCAGUGACAGGUGGUGCAUGGCUGUCGUCAGCUCGUGUCGUGAGAUGUUGGGUUAAGUCCCGCAACGAGCGCAACCCACGUUUUUAGUUGCCAGCAUUUAGUUGGGCACUCUAGAAAGACCGCCGGUGAUAAACCGGAGGAAGGUGUGGAUGACGUCAAGUCAUCAUGCCCCUUACGUCCUGGGCUACACACGUACUACAAUGCUACGGACAAAGGGCAGCAAACUCGCGAGAGCUAGCAAAUCCCAUAAACCGUGGCUCAGUUCAGAUCGUAGGCUGCAACUCGCCUACGUGAAGUAGGAAUCGCUAGUAAUCGCAGGUCAGCAUACUGCGGUGAAUACGUUCCCGAGCCUUGUACACACCGCCCGUCACACCAUGGAAGUUGGCCACGCCCGAAGUCGUUACUUUAACCCUUGUGGAGAAGGACGCCGAAGGUGGGGCUGAUGACUGGGGUGAAGUCGUAACAAGGUAGCCGUACCGGAAGGUGCGGCUGGAUCACCUCCUAA